rnacentral:lncRNA from 10 species
UUGGAACUUUGUAGGGGGUACGAGGGGCUAGGAAACCAAGAAAACAUCUUUUUAAAAAUAUAAGCGAUCGGGCCGGGCGCGGUGGCUCACGCCUGUAAUCCCAGCACUUUGGGAGGCCGAGACAGGUGGAUCACGAGGUCGGGAAUUCAAGACCAUCCUGGCCAGCAUGGAUGCCGAAGGACCUGUUCAAAGUAUUUUCUGUAACUCCAACUGUAACUUGGUUCUAGGAGGAGAGAAUCCAUGUUUGGUCAACAGAACUUUUCGCCGCCACUUAAGUUUACUGCUUCAAUAUCUUUUCCUUACUAAUUGAUUGUUAAUUAAGUAGUGUCCAAGUGAGUUAGCCUUUUUAGGGUUGAUUAAUUAAAAGAGCAGCAAGAAUGGCAUUUUAACUCUUCUGGUUUUUG